UCGACCGGUUAGGUGGGAUGGGGUUGUGGUCCGCGACACCAUACCCUCCAAGUUAAUUCGGUAGUGCAGUUCGGUUUAGUGUGGUGACUCGUGUGUUCAAUUCAAUUAGUGUUGUGAUUAGUGCCCUAUUGGAUAUACUGUAUACGACCAUGGACUGCAAAUUCUUUCUCUGGUUAAAACAUUGAGAGAAGAAUUUUUGUCCAUUUCUUCGUUGAAUGUCAAAACCUGCUCACACCUGUACCAUGAUGACCCAACCAACUAUUGGAAAGACGAUAAGGCAACAGGGAAAGGGCAUUAAAGGUAGGUCCAGAACUAGACUAGUUAACCUGGCAAAUGGCAACGCAAAGUAAGUUUUUGAACAUAUUGAUUUUAAUUCCAAAUCUUCUUGCAUCAUGAUCUUUUAAUUUAUAUAUAAAUAUGUUUUUGAAAAAUGUAAGAAAGAUACUUUUU